GUUACAUACAUGGAAGCAGUCAGGCUCAGUUUGUUGCGGAAUCACAUAUUAUUCUUCUACUGAAUGCUGCUAUCACCAUGGGAAUGGUACUCCUGAAUGAAGCUGCUACCUCCAAAGGGGAUGUUGGGAAAAGGAGAAUAAUAUGUCUGGUGGGCCUGGGUCUAGUGGUCUUUUUCUUCAGCUUCCUGUUGUCGAUAUUUCGCUCUAAAUACCAUGGCUAUC